rnacentral:rRNA from 1 species
GACGAACGCUGGCGGCGUGCUUAACACAUGCAAGUCGAACGGAAAGGCCCUGCUUUUGUGGGGUGCUCGAGUGGCGAACGGGUGAGUAACACGUGAGUAACCUGCCCUUGACUUUGGGAUAACUUCAGGAAACUGGGGCUAAUACCGGAUAGGAGCUCCUGCUGCAUGGUGGGGGUUGGAAAGUUUCGGCGGUUGGGGAUGGACUCGCGGCUUAUCAGCUUGUUGGUGGGGUAGUGGCUUACCAAGGCUUUGACGGGUAGCCGGCCUGAGAGGGUGACCGGCCACAGUGGGACUGAGAUACGGCCCAGACUCCUACGGGAGGCAGCAGUGGGGAAUAUUGCACAAUGGGCGGAAGCCUGAUGCAGCAACGCCGCGUGCGGGAUGACGGCCUUCGGGUUGUAAACCGCUUUCGCCUGUGACGAAGCGUGAGUGAAGGUAAUGGGUAAAGAAGCACCGGCUAACUACGUG